UACGUAGGGGGCAAGCGUUGUCCGGAAUCAUUGGGCGUAAAGAGCGUGUAGGCGGUCCGGUAAGUCAGCUGUGAAAGUCAAGGGCUCAACCCUUGAAAGCCGGUUGAUACUGUCGGGCUAGAGUCCGGAAGAGGCGAGUGGAAUUCCCGGUGUAGCGGUGAAAUGCGCAGAUAUCGGGAGGAACACCAAUGGCGAAGGCAGCUCGCUGGGACGGUACUGACGCUGAGACGCGAAAGCGAGGGAGCAAAUGGG
rnacentral:rRNA from 1 species